AGUAACACGUAUCCAACCUGCCGUCUACUCUUGGACAGCCUUCUGAAAGGAAGAUUAAUACAAGAUGGCAUCAUGAGUCCGCAUGUUCACAUGAUUAAAGGUAUUCCGGUAGACGAUGGGGAUGCGUUCCAUUAGAUAGUAGGCGGGGUAACGGCCCACCAAGGCGACGAUCAGUAGCCGACCUGAGAGGGUGACCGGCCACAUUGGGACUGAGACACGGCCCAA
rnacentral:rRNA from 1 species